rnacentral:lncRNA from 1 species
GAUAGUAUUCUUCCAUUAAUACAGUAUUUUUGCUCAGAGGGUUUUUAGCUUUUGUGUAAAAGGACUGUAGUUAUAUAAAAGAUCUCAGUAAUUGGUAAAAAAGAUAUUAAUUUGUUUUCAGAAAGGAAUGAGAAAUACCUGUUAUGUAACAGUAGUGAAAACUAACUAGAGACUGGAAGGACGAGGCAGGGAUGAGUCUGGGUGAACAGCAAGUCAUCAACAAAUCUGUGGUGAAAGUUCCGAUAUUUCAAAGGACGUAUAAUCUGCUGUGCUUUUCAGAAUCCCGAAAUAGCUACAGAAGAAUUAAUAAAGGCAUUACCCCAGUGGUUUUCCUGUAACUAACCGUGAUGAUGGCUUACCCAAGUUCCCAGUAUUGUUCUGUGUCUUGGAACUGCAGGUUUUCCACAAAAGAAAAUCUGGUUGUGUCAAGGUAAGUGAACAAAACUAUAUUAGAUUGCAAACAUUCUUGUUUUUAAAAAGGUUGCUUUUAUCUUUGACGCUCUGUGGUGCUAUUGUCUGCUUGUGUAUGUAUAUAUGCUUUGUGGUGAACACCUACACCUGAGGAAUUAUUUAACUAAAGCAUAAGCAAGACAGCAAAAAAACUGCUUGCCUAUAAAUGUAAUCUGAAGGACUCUGGUAAAUAUCAUUAGAAUUAUAUCUGGAAACAUUACACAAUUUAGUAAUUACUGCCCAGACAUGGCUUAUAUUUAGUAAAUUAAUAGUAUUUGAAUAAAUCAAGUAUAUAUAUGGAGAUAUCA